rnacentral:rRNA from 1 species
UACGGGGGGGGCAAGCGUUGUUCGGAAUUACUGGGCGUAAAGGGCUCGUAGGCGGCCAACUAAGUCGGACGUGAAAUCCCUCGGCUUAACCGAGGAACUGCGUCCGAUACUGAAAGGCUUGAAUCCGGGAGAGGGAUGUGGAAUUCCAGGUGUAGCGGUGAAAUGCGUUGAUAUCACUCGGAACUCCGGUGGCGAAAGCGGCUCGCUGGCCCUCUUCUGACGCUGAGGCGCGAAAGCUAGGGGAGCAAACGGG